CCCGUGGAAGCCCAUUCCAUACCCCCGGGGUCCUAACUGUCAGGAAGAUUCUUUAACAGAGUUGAAAAUGAAUUAGGGUAAUGUAUGAUUUGGAAAACAUGGGUCCCUUAAUGUUUGGUUAGUCCCUACAGUGGCUCAGUGUAACUUUGUUGUCAGUGUAUUUUCAAAGAAGGGAGCAGUAGAUGCUAUCACAAUGCAGUGAACACUUCCUUUGAGGUCAAACACUGAACUUUACAAGGUCAUUGUGAUUCCUCUGACGUCUUUAUUCAUGAAAAAAAAUUGAAUGAAAAUUCUUACAAUUGGUCUAGAAAAGGGUGGGAAGUACUAAAGUACUCUAUAUAAGCAUAUCUUUUAAUGCACCUGUACAACAAGCCAAAAUGUUUGUUACCUAAUUUACAGUGCAAUCCUAUGCAUUAAUAUUCAGAAAUAAGUUUCAUAAGGUUAAAUGAGACUCCCAGGUCAGUGAACACAGAGAAGUCAGAGAAAACCAUCUAAUCAUCCUGGGAGAGCAUCCUGGGGAUCACAGGACUCUUUGGAGUGCCCCCCGUGAGGCUGCGGACAUUGCUAGGAACUUGGAAGGGAGACUCCAGCACGUGACCCCUUCUCCCACCCCACCUUUCACAAUAUCAUGCAAAGAACUGCACCUGCUGCCUCUGGGAGAGCAGAACUGGCCUUGGAGGACCUCAGAAAGGACUGAAGGGGGAUGUUCUGAUGGGUGGGAAGUGGAAGAGAGAGAGCAAGAUUAGGAAAUACUACAACCUCUCCACCGCCACCAGCACAGCUCUUGUAGAUGGGAUCAAAGGCCUAUUUUGAAGGGGAAAUGUAAAAAGGACAAAAAGAGAAAAAACUAAGCAAACACAAAAAGCCAGAACCCACCUCCUUCCUCCUCCCACCCUGCUGGCUUCCAUCAAACAAAAGUGUGGUCCAUAAGAUUGCUCCCUUACAGUGCGUAAUCCGAUCUGUAUUUAUGUAGAAGCAAGUACUACUCAUGCUGGAGGAGAGCUUUGUGAAUACCCUGGACCAACAGAAAAAUGCACAAGUGGGUCCUAGAUCAAAUCAACCCUAGAAGCAAAAUGAAGGCAGAAAAUGAAGACCACAUAUGGGAUGGACACAUAAAGGAACCCACAGUCUUGAAUUUAGAAGAACUGAGCAGGGCUGUCAAGGACAGCUUUCGUUCAUAGGGUGGCCAUAAAUUGAAGCCAUAUGUGCCAUAUGACUAGAUGGCACAUAUCUACAAGUAUUACAAUGUUCAAUGAGUCUUAUUUCCCCCCACUCACCCCCCAGUACCCAUAUAUAGUAAUGUACAUGGAGGUAUCAGUAAGUAGUUGAUCUGAUUCAAGACAGCUAUGAUGAGUGUAGUUUCAACAUGUGAUGAUACAAGAAAGAUAGAGUAAAAUGAAUCUUUCAUUGUUAUUUUAAUGGUACUAUAUUUUUGUCCUGGCUUCCUGUCCUGUGCUUCAAAUGUUCAAGCUAAAGUGCUCACAGCAAGGGGAAGAUGACCAAGAUCGACAGAUCCUUGCCUCUCUGUACUCCAGUCUUCUGCGCAUCUUCCCAGCAAGACAAGCAAUUCACUGAUUAUGCUGGGAUGAAAGAUUAUUAUCCCAUCUGCUUUGUUUUUCAGUCUGUGAUAGGGAAAAGGGUUGUAAGAAGGUUCUUUUCCUCUCCAUUCCAACUGCAAGUCCACUUUUCCCAAUUUUUCAUUUUUGCAAGUGCCAAAAUUAAAUGAUUAGAUGCAGGCAGUGAACAGUAUGCAUUGUAAAUGCAUAUAAAUAUGAUUUAUGGGAAAGAAAUAGUAUAUCUUAGAAAAGCUGGAGGGAAAGGGCAGCUGGAAUUCGUCAGAGUAGAUGAAAUAUAGAUAAUUAAACAUGAAGAUCAAACUACUUUUGUAUAUACUCUGUCAAUAAAAGAAGGCUCUAAAACUAGUUCAACAGUGUCACCUAGUGGUCACUGAAACUCUCUGACAUUGAAAAUUCAUCGAUUUUUCCAGCAAAGAGAAUGUAAAUUAUUAUUCCCAUGAUUGAUGCUGCUACAUGUCACACAUUCUGCUUUACACUCUAAAAGAUUUCUAUUUUUUCUAUAUGGGUUGACUUUCUCUAAAGUUCUACCUAACAGAACAGGCCACAGGAAUUAUUCCCAACAACUAUAAAAACUUACAUGAAUUUUUUCUGGGGAAAAUUAGUUAUUUCAGGUUAUUUAAUCUGGAUACCAUACUCAGCCCAUGCAACCUGAGAAAGAAGGAGUCAGCUGAUCGAGCACAUGCUUGCAUGCCCAAGACCCCACGUGGACUCCAGGCUGGACUGUGGCCAAGGGGCUAAGUGUGUAAGGCCAUGAGCCUUUCACUAGUUCCUCCAGGAAAGAUCUUAACUGAAUAUGGUAAAUAAUAGUAGCUUCAGUGGUCUUUUCUACUAAUUGCUUAUAUCUCUGGAAAUCCAAAAAAACUAGGCCUGCUUAGACAAACAGAGCUAAUAGGAAAAUCACAGCAUGCAAAGUAAUAGAACAGGCUGGAGAGAUGCACAAAAGGGAUGGGAGCUCAGUGAAGCAAGCUGUUCAUGAAGCCAGGCCUUUACCUGCUGCAACAGAGGCAAGCCAGUAUUAAUGAAAGAAGUUGCUCGUAUCUUUUGGCAGCCUUCAAGAAUCUGAAAUGGUUUCCUUUAAGGUACCUCCUUCCUUAUUGUAGGGUUUAUGGAAGGCAUCUUCUUGUUAUUAUUGUAAUUUUAAAAUUAUUGUUAACUGUUGUACUUUGUCUCAGUGGCUUUUUAGCAGAUGGCUUCUGGAAGAGAUGCUGGUCCCACACAACCCCAUAUAUGUAUUUUGCAGAAGGUACAAAGGAACCAAUGUAAGUACAAAUCGUUCAGAGAUAGGCUUUGUCCUCCAAACCAGGUAUGUUAAAUGAGCAAGGUCUGCUGUUGCACAAACCAAGCCUAUAUCGCUUGUGCAUGUAUAGGUUCAUUCAGAUCUUGGGCUGGUGUAGGCCAGUGGUCCCCAACCUUUUUGGCACCAGAGACCAGUUUCAUGGAAGACAAUUUUCCCACCGGCCAGCCUUUACCUGCUUCGCGUUUCCCUCACUGCUCACACGCGCCCUUCCCCACUUCUUAGUGCCCAGCUCUGCUGCCGCCGCCGCUGCCCCCUCCUCCUUUUGAGGCCCAAGACCCAAAAGGACCCUAGUGCGAAUCUGUACUUGCAGCUGCUGCCCAUCGGCGAUGCCAGCACUGAGGAGCAGCUGCAAAUACCAAGGACGCUUCCCUCGCUGGCUUGCUCACCUCCUGCUGUGCAGCUCAGUUCUUAACAUGCCGCAGAGCGAUUCUGAUCCACAGCUUGGGGGUCGGGGACCCCUGGUGUAGGCAACUCGAUGGCCACUCACACCAAUGUGCCCUUGGACUGCUUUCUCAGCACUUCCAAAGAGCCCUACUCUGCCCGCUUCUGACUUCUAUUUGAUGUGGCCUUUAAAAAUAACCUGGCAGCUAGGAUUGCUAUGGAAUAGGGUUCUGCGGGUGAUGCAGAUUCUAGUUCAAAAGAGUUGCUUAUUGUGUUGGAAUUCAAACCCACCACUGCCUGGUACUCAGUCUUACUGGUCUGUUGCUGCAAAUGGUGCUGUGUGUGGCGCCCAGGGCCCUUUCUCAAAUUGUCAGGUCCACCCAAAAUGUAACCUCUGCUUCACACCAAGUGCACAUGAGGGGCAGGAGAAAGGCCAGGAGCUGCAAAUAAGUAUGAUCCUCCCUGUCGCACCCCCUACUCCUUGGUAUGCAUGCUCACAAGAACUUUUGAACAGGGCUGUGAUUUCUGUUGCGAUGUUUUAGAAUUGCUGAUCUAGUCAGUAUAAUGUAUGUAUUUACAUAUCCUUUAAACUGGUUAAGUUCAAUAUACAACAACCCUCUCCAUCUCUUGAAUGAAAAGCAAUAGCCAUAAAUGUGCAUCCUCGCAUGGUGCAGAGGUUUUGGCAGCUCAUCCGCUUCUAACUAGCUGCCUCUCUUAUCACUGGCAUGCUUUCCUACUUUUGCCUGCCAACUCAGUAUCCAACAGUACUUUAAAAGAAAAGGCUCUCCAUUUAUUCACCCAAGCAACCACAGAAGCCAUGAACAGUUUUUCUUAUGGACCUUUUCCAGUAAUGCCAUUGAUCAAAGAGGCGCACAAGCUGUGAUCCUUACAACUCAGUGUAGAUCAUGUUUAGCAGCAUGGAAAACCAUGCAAUGUGCUAAUGAAGGUUGGUAUUUCCCUUCACUGAAGCAAAGCAUCCAUGUGUGUCUUGCCUGAGCUGACUAGCAAUUGCCUGAGCUGACCAGCUGGGGUUCAACCUGGGGGCUGCCAUAGCACUGUUCUAGGUUUCCCAGGCCAGGGAAACACUGCACAAGGCUUGCACUCAUCCCUUAAUCACACUAGACAGGGAGGCAGAAGCACCGUGGCCAGGGGUACAACCUGCAGUGGCUGCAUAGCCCCAGAGGUGAGAAGAGAAAGAACAAGGCAAGCAGCUGCCAAACCAGGGCUGUGUAUUUGUGGCCAAUGCAUCAGAGUGCCAUGCAUCCUCCCUCCCUUCCUCCUGCAAAAUAUGAGAAAAGGGGGAGUGGACCAUGGGAUGGCACAGGACUUCUCUCAAGUAGAUUUUUGCCCCUUUUGAACUCUGGAACAGGGCUACUCUGUGACUAGUUUUUCAUCACUUUGAGGCAGAAGGAAGUGGCCACCUUAGGCAGGAGUUAUGAAGUGCUGGCAAAUUAUUAUUGUUGCAUUUUGCCUGUCAGGGAGGGAACAUGGUGCAUGUGACAUUUUCUGCCUUCAGCCAAAAUAAAUCAGCUAUUCCGACUUGAGGUGAAGGUGCCAUUUUCUGGUCUGCAAACAUCUUUGGGCUGGCUGUACUUCAGGCCUAGACAGACUUACAUUUGCUCCAUCAAAGUCUGACUUUGACACCCCUGCUAGAGCAGUUCUUUUAGCCAGAAUAAUACAGGGGGUAUAGCAAUGGCAAGAUCAUGUCUCCCAUGCAUAAUUCAUGGAUUUUUUCCUGCAAUUUCUUCUUCUUUUCCUACCAUGAAGACAUGAGCUAAGGAGGGAAAGGUAAAAUAAGUGCACAGUUUGACUGGAAGCUGUCCAUCUGGAAUCAGUGGGGCUGAGCUGCUGGAUAUGUUGGCCCUACCUGUUCCCCUGCCCCUGCAUCCAAGCAUUUAGUGCAAAAGCCUGAAGAUGCCUAUACGUGAGUACCUGGCCACAGGUAAGGAUUUCCAUUAAGAUGUCUCUGUUCAAUAUGCAGAUAUAAGGGCAUGAAGCCGGAUGGGCCGCACAACUUAAUUUGUGAAGACAGUGAGAAGGUCCUGUUCCAACUAUGUAUAAGAUCCUUCUACACAAGCAAGACGUGAAAAGGGCUUCUUUCUAAUCUGUCUACAGGAAAUAUGACUGCAUAUUUACAUCAUGGAGAAAAUACAGUCUGAAAACAGAUGAUGCUGAUACACUGCAAAAGCUAAACAGACAAAGUGACAAAUAUAACUGCUACAAUCACCAGUGCAAAGAAAUAGAAGAGAAAAAAGGGGGGAAAGAAGAUACCUCUUACAGAAGAUCCAAGAAUUCAAAGGGAAGUUCAGACCCACAUUAGGAAUGUUGAAAGACCAUUAAGGAGAAGAUGGAAACAAUAUACAGAAGAACUAUUCAGAAGAAAUAAGCAGAUGACAGAUUCCUUUCAAGAUAAACCCUCUGAAGAAGAACCUGCAAUAUUAGAUAGUGAAGUGAAAGCUACUCUGAAAGUACUUGGAAGGAGUGAAGCACCCAGGCAGAUAGGAUACCAAGCUGCAGAUAUUGAAUUGGAUCAUAUGCCAACAAAUAUGGAAAACAAACAAUGGCCCACAGACUGGAAAUAUUCAAUAUACAUUUCAAUGCCCGAUAAAGGAGAUGCAAAAAAGUGCAGCAACUAUAGGAUCAUUGCACUAAAUUCCAUGCAAGCAAAGUGAGACUCAAGG